CCCAUGUUACUCAAAAUGCCUCUAGCCCUUCUACAAAUCAAGAUACAGAAGAAUCACAAGACGCGGAGACUGAAUCUAGCAUGAGUCUGUCAAGGCCAGCCACAACUUUCAACGAUAAAGAAAGUUUAGCUGAGGGGACUCAAGGGAUUGGUGAGAACAUUGAAAGGCCAUUGGUUGAAGCUGCUAAAAUUGCUCCUAGCCCCACAG